rnacentral:lncRNA from 1 species
GGAAAAGAAAAACACUACCGUCUUGAUCCAAGUCCCAAACUCACUAACACUCUCACCAAACACUCAUCACUCUCUCGUGACCAAACCCUAGAAAUCAACCUUGCACCCAAUCAAUCGAGCAAAACAUCAUCCUUUGGCUGCCAUUCAAGUAUAUUGUAACUAUGACGGUAAUAUUGGUUAAAAAAUAGUAGCUCGUCACUGCCACCACCAUUUUGCCAAUAAUAUUGAAACCCUAGAACUAAACUCUCACCUUCUCAAUUGAUUCGAAAACACCACCAUAUGCUGCCAUUUAAGUCGUUUACUCUCAAUUACACACUUGUUUUGCAUCAUUUCUUAGUCUCUUUGUCCUUUCAGCGUCACCAUCACUGUCAUUUCGCUUCGUGAAGGUAAAUGCUUAGAGUGUUUUUUUUUUCAAUUUGUCCUUUGAUUUUAGGUGUAGAAUCGAUUGGGCUUGUAAUAUGAAUAAGUUUGCUAAAUAAAUUAAUUGGGUUUGGCUUGCAUGAAAUGGUGACAAAUUUUUCUUUGCAAACUUGGCAUGGUGAUGAAGAAAUCGAUGAAAAUUUAUUGAAUGGAAGUGGGUUUGAUUUUUUUUUCUAGACUUUGACUCACAUUUAAUCAAAACGAAAUUAGGAGUAGUUAAUUUUCAAUUUUUGCUCUUGUAAUUUGGAAUUAUUUCAUAAUGUUUCUUCAUAAUUUGAAACCCUAAAACCCCAAUUAUUUAAAAUCCACCAAUUAAUUUUUUUGUCUUUUUCUAAAAAUUGUGCAUCUCUUAGAUUGAUUCUUGUAUAUAUAAUAUGAAGAUAUGUUGUAGUUUUUCCCUUUGCAUUAACAACAACCAAUAUCCUUUCGAUUUCGAAACAUAGCAACUAGGAAUUCCAGCCUACAAAAUCUCAAGUUGCUUUUUGCUUUUGGUGCCAAAUUUAGUUUAAUUUGUUAAAAGAGACGAGUACUUUUGUGUAAUAGCUGGGUGAAAGUUUAAUUGUUGAUCUUGUGUUUUUGUUUUAGACUUAAACUAUUUGCUGCCAUCUCUUUCAUAGGUCUGAUUUCCAACAACAAGCCACGAUGAAAAUAAUUCUCUAGCAAAUAAAUUGUUGCACUCUUUACUAUAUUUAUGUUGCUAUUUUUUAGUUUGCUUCUUUUACAUGUGCACAAAAGAUUAAUUUAUGUUGAUUGAAUCAAUUUUUUAGGUUUAAUUUCAUUUUUAAUCUUUACUUUUGAAAUACAAAUGUAUCCAUAUUCUUGCUUUUGAGAAUUUGAUUUGUUGAGAUUCAUUUAAACUAUUGCUAUGUGGUGUGUUUUACUAUAGAUAGGAUUUAAUGUCUAUAUGCCUUGAGAGUAUCUUGUAUGUAUUAUUCUCUGGGCAAUUCCUUAUAAUUUAGGGUCACUUAAAAUCUUAGAAAUUGACCUUUAUUUUAGUUCUUUUUUUCUUAUAAAAAUCACUUCCUAAAAGUACUAGAUAAUCAUUUGAUUACUGUCCAGCGUGACCACAAAUCAAAAUUACAAUCAGUUGGUAUUCAAGAUUUUGUUUAAUAAAUCAUCAUUUUUCAUUAACAAAAGGUUUAACAAUUAUGCAGCAAGUAUUUUAGGCAAUUAGUUGUUUUUCAAGAUGUGGACUAAAAUGAAAAAGUUUUGCAAUCUUUGAUUUAAGUUUUGGAUUUGGAACUAUUUGCAAAUCUUUUAAACAUUUUGGGCCAUAUUAUAAUUUUUAAAAAUUUAAGGCUAAAGUGUAAAUAUUAAAAAUAUACAGAGAGUUAGCGGCUAACUGCCUGAGGGCUAGCGGCUAGCUACUUGAGGAAAAUUUCAUAUUUUCAAAUUUUGGACUAAAUUGAAGAGAUUUUGAGAACUUUGAAAUUUAUAAGUAUUUUGUUAAAGUUUGAAAAGGACUUCUUUGAAAAAUAUUAUUAUGUUUUGAGUCAUAUCAUAAUUUUAAAAAGUUUGGGAAUGACAAACAUUAUUUAAAAAUUCUAAAAUUGGACUUUUUUUAUAAAGUUUUAUGACAUUGUGGGCCACAAUAUAAUGGGAAAUUUACGAAAAUAACCAUAAAUAUUUUGUUAUUUUUGCAACUAAUUCUCUGAACUUUUUUCUAUCAACAUUAGCCAAACACAAGCCUUUCUCCCCAAAUUACCCUUCUUUACAGACCAAAACUAAUCGGCAUCGUGACAUGAGUUAUUUUCAAACUUAUUGAUCUGAAUCGGGGGAUGAAUCUGAUGACAGGGUGCCUGUCGCACCAAAACUUGAAGUUGUUCAUGAUGAUGUUUGUGAUUCGUCGGAAACGGUGGCGUUUUGGCCGGAAAUUUGAGAUACGCUUUUGUUUUUGUUCUGUUUCGGUUUUUUUUUUUUUAAAUAAUGAAGCUAAACGGAAGAAAACAAAAAGGUGAAAGGAAAAGCAAUCUCUCACCCGCGUCGAAGUCGAGAAAAGUUAGAAGCAAUUUGGGCACGAAGAUUAUGGAAGGGGGAAUGAAUAUCAAUGGAUUUGCAGGUGAAAGCAUUAAUAAUAAUAAUGCUGAUAGAAUACAACUUGACAAAUUUUCCAUCUUAAAAUCAUGCAACAAGCCGCAAAAGAUUAGAUUUUUUUUUUUAAAAAAAAAUCAAGCUUUUUGGCCACAGAACAAGUUUUUUGGGGGAGAGAUGAAGGAGGGGUAUUUUGGUCUCAAAAGUUGUUUUAUGGCUAAUGUUGAUAGAAAUAUUUUUAAGGGGUUAAGAUGAAAAAAAUCAAAACUUUAAUGGUUAUUACUGUAAAAUUCCCCAAUAUAAUCAC